rnacentral:lncRNA from 12 species
CUCAGCUGGACCUGCUCCUGCAGGUGCAGUCACCUACCAGUCAGCUAGGUGUCUGUACUUCUAGAGGUUAGUUGUCUGUUGGCUGCUGCAACAGAGGUGAUGGGGCUCUAUCAUCCAAUAGGCUAAGGCUCUGUCAUUUAAUGCCAAUAGAGGGGUCUCAGGAAAAUAAAGGAAGAUUGAAAUUGAAAUUAAUACCUAAAUGUAGAAGCAUGAUGAACUGCCUGUCGCUAACAAAAUGAACCUUGGACUCCCUAACUGAUCUCUUGUCCUUGAGAGAAAAUAUCAUUUGGCCUAGGGGUAAGUCAAUUAAUCUAUAUUGAAGUAAAGAUCAUUUAUUCUUUUAAUAGACUGCAGACAUAAAACCUCUUUUUAGAAGACAUCUUUUAUGUUUGUUAGCUUGUUCAAC